AUCAUUUAAAGAAAGCGUAAUAGCUCACUGGUCGAGUCGGCCUGCGCGGAAGAUGUAACGGGGCUAAACCAUGCACCGAAGCUGCGGCAGCGACGCUUAUGCGUUGUUGGGUAGGGGAGCGUUCUGUAAGCCUGUGAAGGUGUGCUGUGAGGCAUGCUGGAGGUAUCAGAAGUGCGAAUGCUGACAUAAGUAACGAUAAAGCGGGUGAAAAGCCCGCUCGCCGGAAGACCAAGGGUUCCUGUCCAACGUUAAUCGGGGCAGGGUGAGUC
rnacentral:rRNA from 1 species